GAUGAACGCUGGCGGCGUGCUUAACACAUGCAAGUCGAACGGAAAGGCCCAAGCUUGCUUGGGUACUCGAGUGGCGAACGGGUGAGUAACACGUGGGUGAUCUGCCCUGCACUUCGGGAUAAGCCUGGGAAACUGGGUCUAAUACCGGAUAGGACCACAUUUUGGAUGGUGUGGUGGAAAGUUUUUCGGUGUGGGAUGAGCUCGCGGCCUAUCAGCUUGUUGGUGGGGUAAUGGCCUACCAAGGCGUCGACGGGUAGCCGGCCUGAGAGGGUGUACGGCCACAUUGGGACUGAGAUACGGCCCAGACGCCUACGGGAGGCAGCAGUGGGGAAUAUUGCACAAUGGGCGCAAGCCUGAUGCAGCGACGCCGCGUGGGGGAGGACGGCCUUCGGGUUGUAAACUCCUUUCGCUAGGGACGAAGCGUUAUGUGACGGUACCUGGAGAAGAAGCACCGGCUAACUACGUG
rnacentral:rRNA from 1 species